UCCCAGGUGGCUCAGACGAUAAAGCAUCCACCUGCAACGUGGGAAACCCGGGUUCAACCCCUGGGUUGGGAA
rnacentral:tRNA from 1 species